CUCCUCCCCCCGCGAGGCGCUGCCCAAAAUGUUUAACCGUUUGUUCCGCGCCCAGGCAGAGGCGGCGCAGCGGCAGCUUCCCUUGGAGCGCGCCUCCUGGGGUGCGGGGCAGGAGCACCGCCUCUCUCAUCCAAGGUCCCACAGGCCACCCUGACCCAAAGCCGCCCUCGCCGCCUUCCCAUCCGCUGGGGAGGCAAGGAAAGUGUUCAGGAAUCAUCAUCCCGUGGAGCAAGCCGCAGGUUCCCGAGUCUUCCAAAAGACCCCAAGAGAGUCCUGGGCCAUGAUCCAAGCAAGAGAUGGGGAUUCCAGCUCACCACCACCUCCACUCACCGCAAGGAAACCACCACUCAAGUGUUUCAAGAUCCCACAUAAGGUGCAAGUAAACCUUCGGGUCCAUCGGGACCGUGGGUGCCACUCUACAGAAACUUGAUCCCCUAUUCUGACGCCCCAGUGACAGACCCAAUGGGCAAUUUAUCUGUGAGGAGAGAUCUCAGGCUGUGUGAUGUGGCCAAGUUCGGCGCUAUUUCAGUGGCCCUGGGGCUCGCAGCCACCACCUAGGCAGCAGGAAAUGGGUCCUUUGCCCUGGCAAAAUAAGGAGUCGUCGGAGACAGAGGCAGGAAAGCCCGGAAGUCCUGGCUCCAUAUCUGUUUCCUGACCUUGAGCAAGUCAUCACGACGCAUCCUCCUGUCUGUUCACUCACCCCUCGGAUAGAAGCGGUAUGCUCAAAGUCUACACCUCCCAAAAGGAGGCCUCUUUCCAGCUCCCGGCUCCGUGCUUACCAGACUGCAUUAUGGGGUGGACGCCGGGCUUCCCCCUCUCCCAAGCUCGCCAGCAUAAAGCCGACGUCCUCACCACGGUGAGAGCUUCUUAGCCUAAAUCCAGGAUUCUGCUAGCCGCUAACUGGAGGGAAUUCGUACUGGGAAACGCGUUCUCGGACUUUGCCCAACUUCAAUUAGCAGCUCCUCUGGCCAGUACCUGAGCUCGAACACUGCAGGGUGCGCACGUGAGCUCUGGACUUUCCAUCUGGCCAGGCCACACUGCUUAGGACCAGUCAGGGACUCUGAGGUUUGGGCACUCAACGCAGCAGGGAGCCAGGAAACGAAACCGCACGGUACAUCAGUUUAGAACUGUACGCUGGCUCCCGGAGAAGCACACGUCCAUGCGCCUUGGAAAGCGUUCCCUUGAUCCUGAGAAAUGUUAAGGACGUAGCCCACCUGCGUGGCCCCCAAACUUGGAGGGUCCUAAGAACCUGCCGGUUCCAGCAAUGCUCCGAGCGGGGUAUUACCCUGGGUGUGUUUCCCUGUCUAGCGUUUCAGCUGUGAAGAGGCUCGCAUUGCUGUUUCUUUUGUUUAGGGACUGUAAGCGGUGAGCCGGCUUCAGAGCCGCAGUAGCUGGAACCCCGGCAAACCGCGCUAGAGGUAAUUCUCAGAAAUCUGGUGCCCGCCCCUUCCUAGAGGACUUCUGCUGCGGUGCAAAGCUGGCGAGCGUGGGGCGUGACCUGAGGCCCAUUUCCAAGCGCGGCCUGACCCGCCUGUGACCCCUGCAGGCCGGACCCUGACAUCUGACUGAACCCUGCAUGCCAAGUUCAGUGCGCGGCCGCAAGAUGAGUGCCCUGGAAGUUGCCACAGAAGAAAAAAAAUUUUAAAUAUAAUCUAUCUGCCCAUCGCGACUCACGGGAGCGCCUGGCAUGAAAAAAAUUAUAUGAGAGUGCAAGAUCAUUAACGAACCUCUCAAAGAGGGGAGUAAGAAUCAAUAAAUUACCAACCCAAUAAGACUUUAAUCUAGAAACCUAACCAGGAACUCCUGGUUAAGAUGGGCUAUGGUGGUGGGGUGGCUGGGAAACAAAAUUUUUCCAAAAUAUUUAUAGAACAGCCUUCCUAUUUCAAAGCCCCCCCCACACACACACACUUAAUGGGUCUGACAUUUCAUACCUGCUGUUUUAUCUGCUUGGAGGCCUCACUCCAGACCCCCAGUGACUGUUACUUCCAAAAUCACAUGUUGCCUCCUCUGAGAUCUUCCCACACACAUACGGUGGAAUUUAGUCCAGAGCACUCCCUACUAACAAGGCUGUUGUAUUUUCUUUAAAGCAUUCAUUGCCACUGGACA